ACGCUGGCGGCAUGCUUUACACAUGCAAGUCGGACGGCAGCACAGAGAAGCUUGCUUCUUGGGUGGCGAGUGGCGAACGGGUGAGUAAUAUAUCGGAACGUACCGAGUAAUGGGGGAUAACUAAUCGAAAGAUUAGCUAAUACCGCAUAUUCUCUGAGGAGGAAAGCAGGGGACCUUCGGGCCUUGCGUUAUUCGAGCGGCCGAUAUCUGAUUAGCUAGUUGGUGGGGUAAAGGCCUACCAAGGCGACGAUCAGUAGCGGGUCUGAGAGGAUGAUCCGCCACACUGGGACUGAGACACGGCCCAGACUCCUACGGGAGGCAGCAGUGGGGAAUUUUGGACAAUGGGCGCAAGCCUGAUCCAGCCAUGCCGCGUGUCUGAAGAAGGCCUUCGGGUUGUAAAGGACUUUUGUCAGGGAAGAAAAGGCUGUUGCUAAUACCGACAGCUGAUGACGGUACCUGAAGAAUAAGCACCGGCUAACUACGUGCCAGCAGCCGCGGUAAUACGUAGGGUGCGAGCGUUAAUCGGAAUUACUGGGCGUAAAGCGAGCGCAGACGGUUACUUAAGCAGGAUGUGAAAUCCCCGGGCUCAACCUGGGAACUGCGUUCUGAACUGGGUGACUAGAGUGUGUCAGAGGGAGGUAGAAUUCCACGUGUAGCAGUGAAGUGCGUAGAGAUGUGGAGGAAUACCGAUGGCGAAGGCAGCCUCCUGGGAUAACACUGACGUUCAUGCUCGAAAGCGUGGGUAGCAAACAGGAUUAGAUACCCUGGUAGUCCACGCCCUAAACGAUGUCAAUUAGCUGUUGGGCAACUUGAUUGCUUAGUAGCGUAGCUAACGCGUGAAAUUGACCGCCUGGGGAGUACGGUCGCAAGAUUAAAACUCAAAGGAAUUGACGGGGACCCGCACAAGCGG
rnacentral:rRNA from 1 species